GAGCUUAUAGUUUAGCGGUAAAAUGGGUUGCUCAUAACGACUUCGACAUUGGUUCGACUCCAAUUAGGCUCA
rnacentral:tRNA from 1 species